rnacentral:lncRNA from 1 species
CCUUUUAUGAACCCAUGACUGGAUAAACACAAACUAUCCUAGAAUAAAUACCAACUCUAUAUAAUAAACAGAAACUACGCAUAAUAAAUAGAAACUCUACGACGAUAAAUAGAAACUGUCAAAGAUAAACACAAACAAAGACUCUUCAAUAAAAGAUAUCCAAUGGAUAAAUCCCAAAUCCAAAUGAAUUUUAAUUUUAAAUUCUAAAGUCUUUCCAA